GUGGAUUCAAGAAGGACGGGGAGAGAGAUGGUUAAACAUAGUUGAUAUCAAAUAACAACCUUCUUUAACAAUCUCUCUCCCCGUCCUUCUUGAAUCCACAAUGGUAACCCAUGCAUCCACUGCAAAUAUAAACGCCACAAAUGCAUCCAACAAAAACCAAGUAAACAAAAACCCUGAAAUUUCUUUUUCAAACCCUCGAAUCCACGGGGACGUAAUAGAAAAUGGCAUCAAUUUCAACCUCACAAAUAGCUUGAAAAACGAGUAUUGGUCCUCAAUUUCACCAAAAUACCACAACCCUAUAAGCUGAGUCAAAGCAUCCCUAACCGCCCAUCUCAUGAGGAUAAACCCUGUGAGUCGUUUCAGCCCCAAUCUAGACCCAUCCCAAACAACAGCAACGAAUGAAGUGAACCUCCCCAACAAAUCAUUAACAACAGCAACAAAAACAAUGCCCAAUAUCCACGAAUAUAUAGCAGUAAACCCAAGAAUCACCCACCCAUAAGCUACAGAUAAGAAACUUAUUGCAGACAAGAAACUUACCAGAAAGAACAAGGCAGCCGCGUCCCGCCGGCCCAUCUCCAAACCCUUAAUAAAGAACUGCAAAUCCACUAUCCGGUCCAAAUCCCCGCCCUUUUCAAAACCCACCGAUCCAUUUUCCUCUUCCUCUUCCUCUUCCUCUUCCUUUUCAUUAUCACUAUAAUCAGUACUUUCCCUGUCGCUACUAUUCAUAAGUAGACUAUCCACCUUGAAUUGAAUCCCAGAAUGAACAGUUUCCGAAAUCUUGAUCCCGUUAUCGACGACAUACUCGGAAAAUCCCAACCCAGGAUCGAGGUUGUAAAGAAUUACAGAGCUGCCAUUUGGAGAAAGCUUACGGUUAGGACCAAAGAGGGAACGAUCCGUAUCGUCGUCGCCGGAGAAGAAGUCAUCAUCUAGGGUUCCCACGCGAGUGAGGUGGAGAAAGGGGCGGCGGUGGCGGCGAGGAGGGAAGCGUUGAAUGCGGUGGUGAGGGUGGAGAUGGCGGCCGGAGAGGUCGAGGCGGGAGAGGAGGGAUCUAAGGGAAGGGUCACGGUCGAUGAAUGAUGUGAGGACGUGGGUCCCACUCUCGACGAGGGAACGGAAGGAGAACAGGAGAAGGGAGAGGAGGAGGAAGGUGAAGAGAUUGGCGGAGAAGG
rnacentral:misc_RNA from 1 species